GAUGAACGCUAGCGGCAGGCUUAACACAUGCAAGUCGAGGGGUAUAGUUCUUCGGAGCUAGAGACCGGCGCACGGGUGCGUAACGCGUAUGCAAUCUACCUUUUACAGGGGAAUAGCCCAGAGAAAUUUGGAUUAAUGCCCCAUAGUAUAUAUCAUUCGCAUGUUUGAUAUAUUAAAGUUCCAACGGUAAAAGAUGAGCAUGCGUCCCAUUAGUUAGUUGGUAAGGUAACGGCUUACCAAGACAAUGAUGGGUAGGGGUCCUGAGAGGGAGAUCCCCCACACUGGUACUGAGACACGGACCAGACUCCUACGGGAGGCAGCAGUGAGGAAUAUUGGACAAUGGGCGCAAGCCUGAUCCAGCCAUGCCGCGUGCAGGAAGACGGUCCUAUGGAUUGUAAACUGCUUUUAUACAGGAAGAAACACACCCUCGUGAGGGUACUUGACGGUACUGUAAGAAUAAGGAUCGGCUAACUCCGUGCCAGCAGCCGCGGU
rnacentral:rRNA from 1 species